GCAGUGGUGGUUUAGUGGUAGAACCCUUGCCUUCCAUGUGGGAGACCUGGGUUUAGUUCCUGGCCAGUGUA
rnacentral:tRNA from 1 species